AACGCGAAGAACCUUACCCAGUCUUGACAUGUAGAGGAAGUAAGUAGAGAUAUUUACGCCCUUCGGGGCCUUUACACAGGUGCUGCAUGGCUGUCGUCAGCUCGUGCCGUGAGGUGUUUGGUUAAGUCCAGCAACGAGCGCAACCCUUAUCAUUAGUUGCCAACAUUUAAGGUGGGAACUCUAAUGAGACUGCCUGGGUUAACCAGGAGGAAGGUGAGGAUGACGUCAAGUCCGCAUGGCCCUUAUGACUGGGGCUACACACGUGCUACAAUGGUCGGUACAGAAGGCAGCGAAGCCGCGAGGUGGAGCAAAUCCCAAAAGCCGAUCUCAGUUCAGAUUGUAGUCUGCAACUCGACUACAUGAAGACGGAAUUGCUAGUAAUGGCAGGUCAGCAACACUGCCGUGAAUACGUUCCCGGGCCUUGUACACACCGCACGA
rnacentral:rRNA from 1 species